CGCAGGGCACGCCCUUUCCGCCCCGGUCUCCGCUGGUUGCUGUCCCUUCUUUUACCAUGCCUGGACCAGUUGCCUAUCAGAUGUCCACAGGCCAGAUUUGGGAUGAAGACUAUGCAGUGGUUCUCCAAUCUGAGAAUGCAUCGGAAUCAAUGUCCAAUAAUACAGAAUGGAUGAUAAAUUAGAUAAUUACCAUCAUCCCACCCCCAGUGAGAUAAGACUACUCAAAGCAAGUAUCGUUAAUCAACGUUAAAACUAAAAAGAGAACAGCACCUUUACAUCAAAACUCAUCUGGUGGUUACCACCUUACCCAGAUGAUCAAAUGUGGUAUCACCAGUAGUGUUUAACAAUAUGAUACGUGACUCCAGUGAUGCAUAAGUUGUGCAAAUCACCGAUAUUCUUGCCAAAAUGCAUAACCUGAACUUAACUAUGAAGAAACAAUCAGACAACAGAUCUGGAAUGAAGGACAUUCUACAAGAAAAAUGGCCUAGACAAUUCAUGUUAAAAAGCAGGGCAAUUGGGACUUCCCUGGUGGCACAGUGGUUAAGAAUCUUCCUGCCUGCCAGUGCAGGGGACACGGGUUUGAGCCCUGGUCUGGAAGAUCCCACAUGCCGCGGAGCAACUAAACCCGUGUGCCACAACUACUGAGCCUGUGCUCUAGAGCCUGUGAACCACAACAACUGAGUCCAUGUGCCACAACUACCGAAGCCUGCAUGCCUACAGCCCAUGCUCUGCAACAAGAGAAGCCACUGCAAGGAGAAGCCCACGCUCAGCAACAAAGACCCAAUGCAGCCAAAAAUAAAUAAAUAAAUAAAGCAGGGCAAUUGUUCUGUAUGGAAAAAGAAAUGAAACUUGGAGCUCUGGAUUCGAAAAAUGUAAGACAUUUUUGGAAUGACUGUGGAAAUUUGAUUAUGUACUGUAUAUUACAUAUGGAGUUGUUAACUUUCUUAGUGUGAUAAAAAGAUUGUGGGGACUUCCCUGGUGGUCCAGUGGUUAAGACUUCGCCUUCCAAUGCAGUGGGUGCAGGUUCGAUCCCUGGUCAGGGAGCUAAGAUACGACAUGCCUCAUGGCCAAAAAAACCAAAACGUAAAACAGAAGCAAUAUUGUAACAAAUUCAAUAAAGAUUUUAAAAAUG